GACGAACGCUGGCGGCGUGCCUAAUACAUGCAAGUCGAGCGAGCGGAACCAACAGAUUUACUUCGGUAAUGACGUUGGGAAAGCGAGCGGCGGAUGGGUGAGUAACACGUGGGGAACCUGCCCCUAAGUCUGGGAUACCAUUUGGAAACAGGUGCUAAUACCGGAUAAUAAAGCAGAUCGCAUGAUCAGCUUUUGAAAGGCGGCGUAAGCUGUCGCUAAGGGAUGGCCCCGCGGUGCAUUAGCUAGUUGGUAAGGUAACGGCUUACCAAGGCGACGAUGCAUAGCCGAGUUGAGAGACUGAUCGGCCACAUUGGGACUGAGACACGGCCCAAACUCCUACGGGAGGCAGCAGUAGGGAAUCUUCCACAAUGGACGCAAGUCUGAUGGAGCAACGCCGCGUGGAGGAAGAAGGUUUUCGGAUUGUAAACUCCUGUCGUUAGGGACGAUAAUGACGGUACCUAACAAGAAAGCACCGGCUAACUACGUGCCAGCCGCCGCCGU
rnacentral:rRNA from 1 species